rnacentral:misc_RNA from 1 species
AAAACAUCUUUCCGUCGAAUAUGGCCAACCCUGUAUACAUAUGUCAGUCAAAAUAUUAACUUUAGUAAAUGUACAUUAGGCUGAGACGUCGAGUGGCUUGCUGAUCAAUGCGAUUGACUCACAAUCUGUAGAUCCGGGUUCAAUCCCACAUAUGCGAUUUUUCAUAUUUUAAGGAACCAAAAAUGAUUCCAUCUGGUGAUUAAGAGAGCUUUGAUCAUCAGCACCGUUCGGAUCCGGCGUUAAACUGAAAAUUUCAAAAAUACUUUGAUACUGUUAUAAUGAAUCCACCCUUUGGUAC